CUUUAGUGUCUUGACUGAGCUAAGACCAAAGAAAAUGUAGGCAGAAAGAGCUUAAAACUAUCAAAGGGAAAGCCCAAGUAAAUGUCAGGGCUGGGAUAGUUAGGACUUUCCACUGCCCCCUCCCAUCAUCUGGUAGUGCCCCGCUGGGAACAUGAUGAAGUGGCAUCAUUGUCUGUGGUAAAUAUUUCAGGUUUGUCGUCUCACGCCAAGGAAAUCGAGGAUGCAGACACACAAGAAGUGAGUUUAAGAGUGGAGGUUUAAUAGGCGAGAGAAAAGAGAAGAGAAAAAUUCUCUCUCCCGAGAGAGAGAGGUGAUCCCAAGUGGGUCUUCUGGUUUUGUGGUGAAAUGCAUGGGGUUUCAUAGACGAGCUUGAGGAGGCAGUGUCUGAUUUACACAGGGCCCAAAAGAUUGGUUGGACCAGGUGUGCUGUUUGCAUAGCGUGUGAAGAAGCUGGCCAUCCCAGCCUAAUCUUGUAUUAUGCAGAUAGGGUCGCUACCUGGCCGGCGCUUUCUGAGGUCAUUCUGGGUAGACCUGCAACAAGUGGGCUUCAGAGACCUCUUGAGCUGGCCUGUCUUGGGUCUGCCAGUUCUCAGCCACUGAGGACAGGUCUCAUCCUUCUCUAUGAGCCUUUCCCUCUUUUCUUCUGUCCCCAUACCAGGCAUCUCCUAGAGUACUACUGUCUUUGCAAAGAGCCGAGAUUUCUAGACUAGUGGUUCUGAGUGUGCAGAAGUGUCAACUGGAAGGCUUGCAAAAACACAGAUGGCUCAACUUCUCCCUCAGAACUUUGGAUCCAGUAGGUUAGACUAGGGUCCAAGAAUUUGCAUUUCUACCAAGUUCUCCAGCGAUUCUGAACCCCACUUAGAGAACAGUCUUUGAUUUUCUCCAGUGCUCAGAAAGGUAAGAGAUGGAAGGAGUUUCUGCCAUAUUAGAGGGUCAAAUUCUCCGAGGGGGACCAGCAAUUUGGAUAUGCAUUUUCCUGAGUUCUAUGGUGGGGGCUAGUUGUCUGACCU
rnacentral:lncRNA from 1 species